CCGGGUAAACAGGAAGUCAUCAAACGUUUGCAGUCAGUUUAAGAAAGUCUCUCUUGGCUGCAGGGUCACUGGUCUUCUCCCUCUCAGAAAGAGUUCAAUGCACACAACCGGCCCAGCAACCCGGGAUAUUAAGUGACCAUUUCCCCGGAAGGAUCGAGCUGAGUUGGAAAAUAACUCAGUGAAAGUCUCUGCGGCGCCUGGGCCCGGGUGGAACGCUGCCUGCCUUCAGUGUAGGGACUGCACGGUGUGACACUUUAUUUUCUUUAUGCUAAAUAUCUCUCUGUUAUUAUUUUAUAGAGAUUGUGGUUUGAAUAUUGCAUGCUUUCGUUGUUUUGGUGUGUGGCUUUUCUUGUUUUUGUCCCUCACGAUUAGCAGGCACUGCAACCCAGCGGACCAGGCCUGCCCAACUGAGGAGGGUAACUUAUAUACGUGUUGAAUUAUAUUUGCCAUUUUAACACUUUGCAUGAAUUGACAUUUUAAACAGUUUCCAACACUUGUUAAACAAAGCUGCGUAUAUUUUUGGAAUUCAUGCCUCUGGCAUAAUUGAACCUAUUAAGGGAAGCUUUAAAAUCGGUCCACGUCAUACACUUACAUUUAGGGUCCACGGGUUCCUCCUGCCCCUUAGCAGGAGGUGGCGUUGUCAGUGACUAGCUUUACAUGCGGUUACCACAGUAGUAUUGCGCAACAGAGGUACCGCCCACUUCUGCAUUCCCUUCACUUGGUAAACAAUAUUUAAACAGCUGAUACCUGAUAGUUCUUUCCUGUUCGACCGAGACGUUUCCGGUAAGUCUCCACAAUUAUCGAGUUAGUGGCAUGUUAGGCUCUGGGUGUUUGACUUUUACACAUUACUCCAGCAGACUGUAGCUUUGCCCGUGACGGUGACAAGACCAGCGGUAUUGUGUGUGAGGGGCUGCGCUGUCCGAGGGACAUAAGGUAUGAGCGAUCAUGGUUUUUACAAAGACUGUUUAUGGCAUUUCUGUAACAUGUGCUUUGUUCUUCUAUAGAUUGUCCGCCACUGCUGUUUUGUUUUACUGUUUUGUUUCCCUUAUUUUGGUUUGUUAUAGUCAGAGGUGCAAAUAACUUUUUUUAGGGAGUUACUCAGACCAGGAGACAGCGUUUGGUACUCACCCCACACGAAGCGUGGUCCUCCUCAGUGUCUACUUCACUGUCUAUUUACAUUUCUUGCAUGCUAGAUGAUGAAGAUGCACCUCCCUGUCUCUUAAGCCUCCGAAUUGCUUUCUUCAAAACUUGUUGCCAACACUGUGAAGUCCUUGCAUUUCCUGAGGCAAAGUUGAAGGAUCAAAUACUAAGAUAUUAUCACAUGACUUGAAAUCAUAUCUGAUUUCAGAUGUGGGAAGUUACUAAGUACACUUAUUCAAGUACUGUACUGAAGUACAAUUUUGAGAUAUGUGUACUUUACUUGACUUUGAUGCUACUUUGUACUUAUCUAAAUGGUGUACUUUUACUCCAUUACAUGUAUUGAAUACCUUUUUAGUUAUUUUACAGAUCUGGAUCAAUGAUGUGAAAUAUAAUCAACUCUUAAAUCAGACUUUAGUUCCACCUGGAGUAAAUUUACAAGCUACCCUGCAGUAUACAAAGUCAUUACAGCUGCACCU